rnacentral:rRNA from 1 species
GACGAACGCUGGCGGCGUGCUUAACACAUGCAAGUCGAACGGAGAAUUUAUUUCGGUAAAUUCUUAGUGGCGAACGGGUGAGUAACGCGUGGGCAACCUGCCCUUCAGAUGGGGACAACAUCCCGAAAGGGGUGCUAAUACCGAAUACGAUCACGCUGCCGCAUGGCGGUGUGAUGAAAGAUGGCCUCUCUUUAUAAGCUAUCGCUGAAGGAUGGGCCGGCGUCUGAUUAGCUAGUUGGUGGGGUAACGGCCUACCAAGGCGAUGAUCAGUAGCCGGUCUGAGAGGAUGAACGGCCACAUUGGGAUUGAGACACGGCCCAAACUCCUACGGGAGGCAGCAGUGGGGAAUAUUCCGCAAUGGACGAAAGUCUGACGGAGCAACGCCGCGUGAGUGAUGAAGGUUUUCGGACUGUAAAACUCUGUUGUUUAGGACGAAAGUGCCUGUUGCAAAUAGUUGCAGGUAUUGACGGUACUGAACGAGGAAGCCACGGCUAACUACGUGCCAGCCGCCGCCGUAA